AUGGAUACCACAGAUAACACUGCUACUCCUACUGCUCUCUCCUCGUCUGCCCACGUGUUCUCACAUACCCCGAGAGCAUCUGGCCAGCGGGGUGGUGGCACUGGAAUCCUCAUCUCUCCCAAGUGGACAUUCUCUCUUCCUCCCCUGACCCAUCUGUCUAUCGCCUCCUUUGAAUUCCAUGCUGUCACAGUUACCAGCCCUUUCAAGCUUAACAUCCUUAUCAUUUAUCGCCCUCCAGGUUCCCUUGGAGAGUUCAUCAAUGAGCUUGACGCCUUGAUAAGUUCCUUUCCUGAGGAUGGCUCACCUCUCACAGUUCUGGGUGACUUUAACCUCCCCACGUCUACCUUUGACUCAUUCCUCUCUGCCUCCUUCUUUCCACUCCUCUCCUCUUUUGACCUCACCCUCUCACCUUACCCCCUACUCACAAGGCAGGCAAUACGCUUGACCUCAUCUUUACUAGAUGCUGUUCUUCCACUAAUCUCAUUGCAACUACCCUCCAAGUCUCCGACCACUACCUUGUAUCCUUUUCCCUCUCGCUCUCAUCCAACACUUCUCACUCUGCCCCUACUCGGAUGGUAUUGCUCCGUCGCAACCUUCGCUCUCUCUCUCUCUCGAGCUACUCUCUCUUCUUCCAUCCUAUCAUCUCUUCCCUCUGCUCAAACCGUCUCCAACCUAUCAGCUGAUUCUGCCUCCUCAACCCUCCUCUCCUCCCUUUCUGCAUCCUUUGACUCUCUAUGUCCCCUAUCCUCCAGGACGGCUCGGUCCUCCCCUCCUGCUCCGUGGCUCGACGACUCAUUGCGAGCUCACAGAACAGGGCUCCGGGCAGCCGAGCGGAAAUGGAGGAAAACUCGCCUCCCUGCGGACCUGGCAUCCUUUCACUCCCUCCUCUCUACAUUUUCCUCUUCUGUCUCUGCUGCUAAAGCCUCUUUCUACCACUCUAAAUUCCAAGCAUCUGCCUCUAACCCUAGGAAGCUCUUUGCCACCUUCUCCUCCCUCCUGAAUCCUCCUCCCCCCCUCCUCCUUCUCUGCGGAUGA
rnacentral:lncRNA from 8 species